UUCCAUCUGGAAGAAUCUGGAGACAGGUGCUGCAUGGCUGUCGUCAGCUCGUGUCGUGAGAUGUUGGGUUAAGUCCCGCAACGAGCGCAACCCUUGCCUUUAGUUGCCAGCAGUUCGGCUGGGCACUCUAAAGGGACUGCCGGUGGUUAAACCGGAGGAAGGUGGGGAUGACGUCAAGUCCUCAUGGCCUUUAUGACCAGGGCUACACACGUACUACAAUGGCCGAUACAAAGGGCAGCGACACUGCGAGGUGAAGCCAAUCCCGUAAAAUCGGUCUCAGUCCGGAUUGGAGUCUGCAACUCGACUCCAUGAAGUUGGAAUCGCUAGUAAUCGUGGAUCAGCAUGCCACGGUGAAUACGUUCCCGGGCCUU
rnacentral:rRNA from 1 species